AUAAAUAUAAUAUAAUAAUAUAUAUAAUUUAUAAUUAUAAAUUAUAUAUAUUAUUUUAUAUU
rnacentral:tRNA from 1 species